UAAGGAAUAUUGGUCAAUGCCCGGAAGGGUGAACCAGCCAUCCCGCGUGAAGGAUGAAGGGGCUCUGCCUUGUAAACUUCUUUUGAAUGGGACGAAAAAGCCUCACUUGUGAGGAACUGACGGUACCAUUAGAAUAAGCACCGGCUAACUCCGUGCCAGCAGCCGCGGUAAUACGGAGGGUGCGAGCGUUAUCCGGAAUCACUGGGUUUAAAGGGUGCGUAGGCGGCUGUAUAAGUCAGUGGUGAAAGGCUGUGGCUUAACCAUGGGAUUGCCAUUGAUACUGUACGGCUUGAAUUAGGAUGAGGUUGGCGGAAUGUGACAUGUAGCGGUGAAAUGCUUAGAUAUGUCAUGGAACAUCGAUUGCGAAGGCAGCUGACUGGACCUUAAUUGACGCUGAGGCACGAAAGCGUGGGGAGCGAACAGGAUUAGAUACCCACGUAGUCCCUGAGCGGGCUGGCAAGGCGCAU
rnacentral:rRNA from 1 species